UUUAAUUAAUUGAAAAGGCAUUUUAAAGUUUAUUUGGGAGAAACCUUAAUUUGAAACAAUUUUAAACGAACUAAAAGUGUGUUAAGUGAAAAAUAAAUGAAUUAAAUAACGCUUCUUUUUAAGAACAAAGAGUUUUAAUUCAAUUAAUGAUAUAAGAUCUUAUUAGUAAAAUAAAUGAACACAAAAAAUAUUAAAAGUAAACCAACACAACAAAAAUAACUCGUCUUUUGGGGAAUCUAAUUAAGUUAAUUAAGAAUUAUAAAGUCAGAAUUAAACAACAAUAAAUAAUCGCAAUUAAAUAAUUAAAGAGUAAGGGAGAAAUUGAAUUUGGGCCUCUUUUUGGGCCAAAUUCGCGGAAAUUUUGGGGUUUAAUCCUAAACCCGUUUUUGGUAUACAGCUGAUGUAUAUCAGUGUAUAUCAGCGUGUAUAUCAGCCCUUUUCAUGUAUUUCUUGCUUCGAAACACAUGUAUUUCCUCUAAGCCCUGUAUUUUCAUGUAUAUAAUUUAUGUAUAGCAGUGUAUACAACAUGUAUACAGCUCUUUUUUGGAGCUUUUGGAGGCUUGGUCAUCAAUUUCCAGCAUGUAUAUUGCCUCCAUUUCACUCGAUCAAGAUGGUGCUGACUCGAAGAAUCUCAACUCGGAAAAAUGCAAAAAAAAGGGAGUCCAAAAGGACUCAGGUUGAUGCACAUACAAAGAAAAUGGAAGCAACAUUAGCCAAGUCGCAUGAGAAUAUUCUAGCAACGUUUCAAAGAGUAAACUAUACCAGAAAGCAUUUUACUAAAUGUUUUCAGACAUAUCUUAACAAGAGUUUCUUAACACAAGGACAUGUAAAGUAUAUCUAGUGUAUACAGCCCAUUUUCCUGCUUUCCGAAACUUGUAGCAGCUCCAUUUUGAUCUGUUCUUUGAUUUUUCACUGCUGGCUGACUCGACAAGAACAAGAUUUGAGCCUUCUUGGCUCGAAAAUGCAAGGUACAGGGGAAAUGGAGGAGUCCAGUGGACUCAGGGGCAGAUUCAUGCAAAUAAAGAGAAGGAACAUACAGUAAGGAGCAGCAUAUAAUAAUAUAUGACUACAAACUAACAUUUAAACAAUUUAGUUAGUAGAUAAGCUAUUGCAGAUUUUAAUUGACAUACAUAAGACAAGAAGAGCCAACAUAAAUAUGAUCACAACAACACACAGAUUUAAUAAAACAAAUAGGAAGAGAUUUAUGAGUUACGGAAGAGGACACCAAUGAGUAUUUGAUUUUAGAAAGAUGGCUUAUUACCCAUAAUCUAGUCAUAAAUAUUAACAACAAAAACUAAAAUACCACAUAGAAGCAAGAAACGAUUAAAUAUCAAAAAUAAAGAACCACUAACAAUAAAAUUUGCAUGACUCUUACACAUGGAUAAGGAAGACACACUAACACUAACAACUUCAACAAAAGAGUAGGGGAAGAAAUGAACAUGUAUGCCAUUUUCUCAAGGAUAUGAAUCCAAACAGUAAGUUUAUCAUACAACUAAAGGAUAGAGAAUAUUAUUCAAAUUGGGCUAAACAUAAAAAUCACAGAGGCAAACAACUUAGAGCUGAACUAAAAGGCAAUGUUAAAAGAGUCAACACAAAUUAAAACUUUCCAAGAUAUCAGAUUGUAAGACCAAGGUUAGCGGCAUAAACGAGUCUGGCUCUCUCCAAGCGGAUUCGAAACUAGAAUGACUCAAAUUCUUAUAGCUUAACAUGUAAUCCAAACAAAAGACCCAAACAAGGACGUAAGACUAGCUUUAAGAGACUAGAUAGCAACCUCAAACUUGAACAAGACAAGAGAACAUCCAUCACACUCUUCCAUGUUCUUGACCAUAAAUAAAUAAAUAACGACAAAUAAGUCUUAAUCAGGAAACACGAGCAGGCAGUGGAGAAACAUACGAUUAAGGUCGUCAAGGUCUUUGAGACAAGAAACGACAAGCACACACAUAACUCGAUAUCUCAAUAUGAACAAGACUUAACAUAAGGCAAAAGAAGGGAAUAAAAUGAACAAAAAUCUUAAAUUUUGAUCCAUAUCUAUAAUGCCACACCCUGUUAUCAGCAAGAAGUAGCAUUUAGCUAAGUUCAAAUGUCAGAACGACAAAUUCAUACUAUCAUCGUGACUCAACUCCAAAACCAUUUAAACCAGACCGUAUGGAGCAUUUAAGAAAAUAAAAAAAAAAAUAAACACCAACGAUUGCUAUAUAAUCACGGAUCAAGGAAAAAACUUCAACACGCCAGAAUAUUAUCUUGGAAAUAAAAGAGGAAAAGAGCAUCAUAAAGGACAUCGAAUUUUACCUAUUCGGGGCAGCAAACGGAGACGAUGAGCAAAGGAGGGUAGCGAUUCUUCCGCCACGAGAUCUCGAUACGAACAGCAAGCCAAGAACUUUAGGCAAAAUUAAAGCGACUACCUUUUCGGAAUUUAGAACAAAGACAAGCUAAAAUAUAAAAUUUCAAAUGUAAAAUUACUAUUGCCAAAGAACUCCCCCCAACCCUGUCCUCAACAGUGGUUAAAACAGAUGAAUAUAUAGAUGGAAAUUUUGUGGAAAUCGCGUGAAACUUCAAAUUUUAAAAUUCGAAUUCAUUUUGCCCCUUUUCAAGACAACAGUAGAAAGCUUUGAAAAAAUCCCUUAAAACGGGGGAAAGGGGACGUGAAGGUGAUGGGUUUGCAGGGUAUGGGUUCUUGCAAGGUAGGAGACGCAAUUUCCGGGUUGAGCGUGAAGAAGACGAAGGCAAGUACGGGCAGUGGGGUCGUCUGGUUCGGGGUCUGCUGAUGGGAUUUGGUUUCUGGGUUUUGCAAUCAAAAAAGGAGAAGAAAACGUACAGUGCAGGGGGUGGGGUCAUUUGGUGUUGAUGUUGUAUUGUUUGUAUUGUAUGUUUUGUGGGCUGUUAUUGUGGGAAUGGGCUGCUGAUAAGGUUGGGAAUAAGGUGGGCUGAUGAGUGUAUUGUUGUUGGGCUGGGAAUUAUGAAGUAAGGCCCAAACUUGGUCUUUUGAUGGGUUGAAGAUGU
rnacentral:lncRNA from 1 species